rnacentral:lncRNA from 1 species
GAAGAGCUGGCGGCGUGUGGGGCGCACGAGGCCCUGCUGGGUGUUCCGGGGGCGCCGCCCGGGACCCCGAGGGCGGGAGGGUGUGUGGUCGGCGGGCGUGGGGGCUGCGGGAGCUGUCGGCCCUUGCCCAGGGACCCCGCCCGUGUCCCGCCCGGGUAGCGUUUUGGCUGCCGUACACUUGCUCUAGGAAUUAUUGAACGGAAACAAUUUCAUUUGUUUUGGAAAGACUUUUUGGAGCGGAGUCAGGAUGAAUUAUGUG